rnacentral:lncRNA from 1 species
CUCGUUUCAUCAGGACCAUCGUGAUUGCAUUCAUUGGUGUUUCCAGAACCCGGGAAGAAUUAAAUGUACAGGCGGAAGUUGAGUUGGUGUUCAGUGGAGCGUCCACUGAACCGAUCCCCAGCAACACUGACAUUGUGCAGACUCUAAAAGAAGCAGCUGCUAAUUCAACUGCAGGCUUCAACCUCACACUUGAUGCCACCACUAUUACUGUCAUUAGUAAGCUAAUUUAUAUAUGCCAGAUUUCUGAGAUCUUACUAUGUUAUCUUGACUAGAAAAGUUCUGUGCAAUCUCUGCUCUGUUAUCUUUAAAAUCAAUUCCUUUUUUGUAGAAUCAGUGCAGAUAAUUCCGCUGACAAUCCUCACCAAUGGAACCUUUGUGGCUGCUCUUUCAAAUAAAAGUUCUACUGAAUUUCAGAACAGGGCUUCGAUGAUAAAAGCAGGGGUGAGUGUGACGUGUCUACUUAUGAAUUUUGGGUAAUAUGCUUUUACAAAAGAAAGCCAAUUUUGUUGAACAACUCUUGUUUUGCAGCUCGAACCUUUUUUCCUCGCUGAUUACCCUAAAUCAUUCAGCACCAUAUCCAUAACAGACUUCAGGUAUGAAUAUGCUGGUGCAUUCUUGAAAAUAGCUACUGAUUCAAAAUAACACUCAGUUUUCAUUGAUGAAUCUUGAUUCCAAACUCUCUCCAGUGAUGCCAGUGUAAAAUUAAGGAGCGUGCCCACAAUCCGAAACUCCAUGGAUCUUGUAUUUGGAGCGGAUGCCGUUCUACCUAAUAGCACCCAGAUAGUGAACACUGUAGUUCGAGCAACUAGAAACAACACGUUACCCUUCCAGAUCUUCACUUCUUCAAUCAUAAUAAAUGGAACCGAACAUUCGUCAGGUGAAGUCAGCAGCAGGAUCAGUGUGUUGACCGCUUCAGUUCUGGUUGCUGUGUCGCUUCUGGUUCCACGGUUUAACUGACCGUAACCACUCAUGCCAAUAUAACUGAUUCAGACAGGUCUGAGUCUUCCUUGCCUUCCACGCCUGCUCACAUGAAGGACUCG